rnacentral:rRNA from 1 species
CCCUACGGGACGCAGCAGUGGGGAAUAUUGGACAAUGGGGGGAACCCUGAUCCAGCGACGCCGCGUGAGUGAAGAAGUAUUUCGGUAUGUAAAGCUCUAUCAGCAGGGAAGAAAGAAAUGACGGUACCUGACUAAGAAGCCCCGGCUAACUACGUGCCAGCAGCCGCGGUAAUACGUAGGGGGCAAGCGUUAUCCGGAUUUACUGGGUGUAAAGGGAGCGUAGACGGCAGUGCAAGUCUGGAGUGAAAGGCGGGGGCUCAACCCUCGGACUGCUCUGGAAACUGUACGGCUGGAGUGCAGGCGCG